CUCAGGUCGUCAGUGGAAGGGGGAGAAGGAGGAUGCUUAGAGAGCUUAUCAGAGAUAGGGUUCAGGAAGACGGUGGUGAGAUCAGACACAAAGUGAACUGCUUUGCUCCUAAAUGACUUCGCUUUUCCCAUACUUAUAUUGGGUUUUUGCUAGAAUUGAGAUCAGAUAAUGGAUUUCCACCACAGACUCACUUUACAAAGAUUCUCUCUUUACAUACAGAAUAUUGC
rnacentral:misc_RNA from 1 species